AUUGAACGCUGGCGGCAGGCCUAACACAUGCAAGUCGAACGAGUGGCGGACGUGUGAGUAAUGUCUGGGAAACUGCCAGCUGGAGGGUGCUACCUACUGGAAACGGUAGCUAAUACCGCCUACCAUCGGAUGUGCCCAGGUGGGAUUAGCUACUAGGUGGGGUAAAGGCUCACCUAGGCGACGAUCCCUAGCUGGUCUGAGAGGAUGACCAGCCACACUGGAACUGAGACACGGUCCAGACUCCUACGGCAGGCAGCAGGGGGGAAUAUUGCACAAUGGUGGAAAGCCGGAUGCAGCCAUGCCGCGUGUAUGAAGAAGGCCUUCGGGUUGUAAAGGACGUUCAGCGGGGAGGCGUUACCCGCAGAAGAAGCACCGGCUAACUCCGUGCCAGCAGCCGCGGUAAUUC
rnacentral:rRNA from 1 species